rnacentral:rRNA from 1 species
UACGAAGGGAGCUAGCGUUGUUCGGAAUUACUGGGCGUAAAGGGUGCGUAGGCGGUUUGAUCAGUCAGAUGUGAAAGCCCCGGGCUUAACCCGGGAACUGCGUUUGAUACUGUCAAGCUUGAAUUCGGAAGAGGUGAGUGGAAUUCCCAGUGUAGAGGUGAAAUUCGUAGAUAUUGGGAAGAACACCGGUGGCGAAGGCGGCUCACUGGUCCGACAUUGACGCUGAGGCACGAAAGCGUGGGGAGCAAACAGG